rnacentral:rRNA from 1 species
CCUACGGGUGGCUGCAGUGGGGAAUAUUGGACAAUGGGGGGAACCCUGAUCCAGCGACGCCGCGUGAGUGAAGAAGUACUUCGGUAUGUAAAGUUCUAUCAGCAGGGAAGAAAGAAAUGACGGUAACUGACUAAGAAGCCGCGGCUAACUACGUGCCAGCCGCCGCGGUAAUACGUAGGGGGCAAGCGUUAUCCGGAUUUACUGGGUGUAAAGGGCGCGUAGACGGUGAGUUAAGUCUGAGGUGAAAGCGGGGGGCGCAAGCGCCGGAAUGCUCUGGAUACACUGAGACUGGAGUGCAGGAGAGGUGAGCAGAAUUCCUGGUGUAGCGGUGAAAUGCGUAGAGAUCAGGAGGAACACCAGUGGCGAAGGCGGCUCACUGGACUGUGACUGACGUUGAGGCGCGAAAGCGUGGGGAGCAAACAGGAUUAGAUACCCGAGUAGUC